rnacentral:rRNA from 1 species
UGCGUAGGCGGCUUUCUAAGUUGGAUGUGAAAACUCUGGGCUCAACCCAGAGACUGCAUCCAAAACUGGAGAGCUUGGGUUCUGGAGGGGAAAGCGGAAUUCCUGGUGUAGCGGUGAAAUGCGUAGAUAUCAGGAGGAACACCGGUGGCGAAGGCGGCUUUCUGGACAGAUACCGACGCUGAGGCACGAAAGCUGGGAGCAAACA